UUUUUGUAUAUUUAACUUGUAUUCUGUAGCUUGGGUUAUUGGCUUCAAUUGUAUGUAUAUGUGUGUGUUCUUUAUAGAGAUUUACUACUACUACUGCAAAGUUGGGUCAUCUUCAGGAAGAAAUUAACUUCUGCCUGUCUAUGGAUGCAUUUUUAUAUAGUUUUCUUGCCUGUGACUUCUGUACUUGGACAGAACCUCCAGAAUAAUGCUGCAUGGGAACUGACAUCCUCACAUUCUUCAGAUAUAUAUAUAUAUAUUGAGACAGGGUUUCCCUAUGUAUGCUUAGCUGUUCUGGAACUUGCUUUGUAGACCAGGCUGGCCUCAAACUUGUAUAGAUCCACCUGCCUCUGGCUUCUGAGUACUGAGGCUAAAGAUGUGUGCUACCAUGCCCGGCUUCCUUCUUCAGAUCUUAGGUGGGGAAUCUUUUCCGUCUUCAGCAUCAGUGUCAGUUUCUUAGAAUGUCCGGUAGCAAGCUGAGGAAUUGCCUUCUGUUCUCUGUUGAGUAUUUCUGACCAUGAAAAGAUGUUGGAAUUGGUCAAGUACCUUUUCUCCAUCAAUCAAGAUGGUCACGUAGGUUUGUGCUUCCUUCUGUUAAGAAGCUCUAUUAUGUUGAUUGAUUUUUGUAUGUUUGGCAUAUUUUAUGUUUUAGGAAUCAAGUCUUGUUUGGUCAUGGUGAAUAUAUAAUUCCGUUAAUAUGUGUAUUUAUUAUCUAUCACUCUGAUAAAACACCAUGAUCAAGGCAAUUUAUAGAUGGAAGGGUGUGUAUUGGGCUUACAGUUCCACAGAGGUGAGUCUGUUACCUUCACCUUCGCCAUCACCAUCACCAUCACCAUCACCAUCACCAUCACCAUCACCAUCACCAUCACCAUCACCAUCACCAUCAUGGUGGGGAGCAUGGCAGCUGGCAGGCAUGGUAGCAGGAGAGGCUGAGAGCUCACAUCUCUAAAUGCAAGAGGGGAAACUGAGAGCGCUACCUGGGGAUGCCAGGAGGCUUUUGAGGCUUCAAAGACCUCCUGCACUGACAUACUUCCUAUAGCAAGGUUGUACCUCCCAAAGCCCCAUGAGCAUUAUGACCAAAGGUGGACCAAGUACUCAAAUGCCUAGAAUAUGGGAGAUAUCUUCUUCAAACCCCCACAACACUAUUCAUUCUCUUGGCUAAAAAUUUUGUAACUGUGUGCUUACUAUCAUUUUUUUUUUCUUGGAGAUGUCCUUGGGUUAGCUAUUGCAAACAUUUUUUUAAAGACAGAACUCACACUAGAAGGUCUCAACACCUCAUUUUCAACAGUUCAUCAGCACAGAACAUCACUAAGGAAACAGAUUUCAGCUGCAUUGAAGAGUACAUGAACCUUACAGACAUAAUAGUAUUCCAUCCCAUGGUAACGGAAUAUACAUUCUUAAUACACACAAGAAAAAAAAACACAGGAAAUCAGCAAAACUCAUUCUUAAAAGAUUAAAUGGAUGCAUUUUCUCCCUUGGCAGCUUGCAUAGAGCCUUCUAAUCCAUAGAUGAAGGCAGCCCUCACCUCCCACCACCAACAAAACUUGUUUUUCUUAACAGAAGGUGGAGAGGCAAUUAGAAAGAUCUACACCCCAUCAAAAUGCAGAUAUCACAUGACUGUGUGACGCCCAGCCAAGAAUUGGGUGUAUAUUACACAACUACAUUCAAGGCUUGGGAAUUAAGGUUCUGAAGACUAGGAUCACUCCUGCCUGGCAACUGGACAGGGAUAUUACUUCUAUGAACAAUAUGGUUACCCGUACAAGACCUCCACAAACCACACCAACUCAUGCACCAAUAUGAAUGGAGGAACGUUUCACAGGGCCCUUACACCUAAAUGGAAAGCUGUAGGCAAGCAAGGCUGCUGAGGGACAACCAGGUUGGUUUUGUUGUUGUUUGUUUGUUUGUUUGUUUGUUUGUUUGUUUCUUCAGUGAUGAGACCUCAGUUUAGGUGGUUAGUCCUAAACACAUGCAAAUAAG
rnacentral:lncRNA from 1 species